ensembl:snoRNA Snora24 small nucleolar RNA, H/ACA box 24
CUGCAUGGAGCUUUGGAACCUCCAGCUGUGGUCAUCCCUUCUUAACACGAAAGACAGUCCUGUUGACAUGCAAAGCCAUCACCAUCUAACUGCUAUCUGAAUCAGACAUGCACAAUGACACUC